rnacentral:rRNA from 1 species
GAUGAACGCUGGCGGCGUGCCUAAUACAUGCAAGUCGAGCGAACGGACGAGAAGCUUGCUUUUCUGAUGUUAGCGGCGGACGGGUGAGUAACACGUGGAUAACCUACCUAUAAGACUGGGAUAACUUCGGGAAACCGGAGCUAAUACCGGAUAAUAUUUUGAACCGCAUGGUUCAAAAGUGAAAGACGGUCUUGCUGUCACUUAUAGAUGGAUCCGCGCUGCAUUAGCUAGUUGGUAAGGUAACGGCUUACCAAGGCAACGAUGCAUAGCCGACCUGAGAGGGUGAUCGGCCACACUGGAACUGAGACACGGUCCAGACUCCUACGGGAGGCAGCAGUAGGGAAUCUUCCGCAAUGGGCGAAAGCCUGACGGAGCAACGCCGCGUGAGUGAUGAAGGUCUUCGGAUCGUAAAACUCUGUUAUUAGGGAAGAACAUAUGUGUAAGUAACUGUGCACAUCUUGACGGUACCUAAUCAGAAAGCCACGGCUAACUACGUGCCAGCAGCCGCGGUAAUACGUAGGAGGCAAGCGUUAUCCGGAAUUAUUGGGCGUAAAGCGCGCGUAGGCGGUUUUUUAAGUCUGAUGUGAAAGCCCACGGCUCAACCGUGGAGGGUCAUUGGAAACUGGAAAACUUGAGUGCAGAAGAGGAAAGUGGAAUUCCAUGUGUAGCGGUGAAAUGCGCAGAGAUAUGGAGGAACACCAGUGGCGAAGGCGACUUUCUGGUCUGUAACUGACGCUGAUGUGCGAAAGCGUGGGGAUCAAACAGGAUUAGAUACCCUGGUAGUCCACGCCGUAAACGAUGAGUGCUAAGUGUUAGGGGGUUUCCGCCCCUUAGUGCUGCAGCUAACGCAUUAAGCACUCCGCCUGGGGAGUACGACCGUAAGGUUGAAACCCAAAGGAAUUGACGGGGACCCGCACAAGCGGUGGAGCAUGUGGUUUAAUUCGAAGCAACGCGAAGAACCUUACCAAAUCUUGACAUCCUUUGACAACUCUAGAGAUAGAGCUUUCCCCUUCGGGGGACAAAGUGACAGGUGGUGCAUGGUUGUCGUCAGCUCGUGUCGUGAGAUGUUGGGUUAAGUCCCGCAACGAGCGCAACCCUUAAGCUUAGUUGCCAUCAUUAAGUUGGGCACUCUAAGUUGACUGCCGGUGACAAACCGGAGGAAGGUGGGGAUGACGUCAAAUCAUCAUGCCCCUUAUGAUUUGGGCUACACACGUGCUACAAUGGACAAUACAAAGGGCAGCGAAACCGCGAGGUCAAGCAAAUCCCAUAAAGUUGUUCUCAGUUCGGAUUGUAGUCUGCAACUCGACUACAUGAAGCUGGAAUCGCUAGUAAUCGUAGAUCAGCAUGCUACGGUGAAUACGUUCCCGGGUCU